GGGGAUAUAGUUCAAUGGCAGAAUAUUUGACUUGCAAUUAAUUGGUGGCGGUUCGAUCCCGCCUAUCUCCA
rnacentral:tRNA from 1 species